CUACACCAGUUUUCGAUCGAUUAGCGAAGUGAAACAACAUCGAGUCUGGUUAGUACUUGGAUGGGUGACCGCUUGACAAUACCACGUGCUGUAG